GUAGUGUCCAUCUCCAUCCAGUCCUUUAGUAGAUCAAGAAUGUCAUGCUAUAGAAUGUACCUCUUUUUUAUUGGAGAAGAUGAUUCUGUUUCCAUUUUGAUAUCAGGUUCAUAAGCAGGGUGUUGCACUUGGAAGAUCUGUUGACUUGACGAAGUUUGAUGGUUAUGACCAAUUGAUCGAGGAGUUAGAUCAGCUAUUUUAAUUGAAAGGAGAAUUGAUGGCUCCAAAUAAAAAUUGGAUGAUUGUAUUUACUGAUAAUGAGGACGAUAUGAUGCUUGUUGGAGAUGACCCUUGGCAGGAAUUUUGUGCUAUGGUCCGUAAGAUUUUUAUAUACACAAAAGAGGAGGUCCAGAAGAUGGAUUCAAGUACCUUGAACCC